GCGGUAUUAAAUAAUAAUAAUAAAAGUUCUUAUAGUGAACAAUGUUACUUAUCAUCACCUUUUUUCAGGUGGAGGGGCCACCAGGGCUGCCAGGACCUGCGGUAGGUAACAACCAUCAGGUUUUUGUGGUCACGUCUUGUCACAUGUCUGUGGCUGUACACUGAAUUCUUUUGGUUUCAGGGUCCUCCUGGAGGUCAGGGUCACGUCGGACCGCGGGGCUUUAAAGGCAGACGGGGAUUUCAAGGACCUCCAGGUUUAGAUGGAGAGCCUGGUGUUCCAGGAAACCCGGGACAGCCAGGACCUCCAGGCCAUCCAGGCCCCCCCGGGGGAAACCUGGUGUCUCAGAUGACUUCAGGUCUCAAUGAGAAGUCCAGCAUGGCUUCCAUGGUCUCAGGAUACAGGGUGAGAGGAACUGAACAGGUUCACAUUUUCAGUUUGGUACAGAUAAGCAGACUUUAAAUAUUGUUGCAGGGGGAAUCAGGACCGCGUGGACUUGCAGGACCACCUGGACCACCGGUCAGUAAAUUUCCACGUCAUUUUCACAAAUCCAAUUUCCCCAAAAGUAAAAUCUAAAUGUUUUUGUUCAGGGUCCUAGUGGUGGUCAGGGAAUUCCAGGAGACGCUGGAGACCCAGGACAAAUGGUCAGAUUGUUCUUCUCCACCCUUGCCUUCAUUCCUUCAUUUUAAAUUCAUUGCGGUUCUUUUGGGUCUCAGGGUGAACCAGGUCAACGGGGACCAGACGGAUUCCCCGGAAAACCUGGGCCUGAUGGAGAACCUGGACCCGAGGGUAAUAUAGGAGAACCAGGAUUUCCAGGAUCAGCGGUAAACGACCAUCCCAACAAGAAAACAAAGGAACUAAUUGUAUCGAACAUUGGUUUCACAAGUUCUUUGUAUUCAGGGUUCAAGGGGGUUUCCAGGACUACCAGGCCAUCCGGGAUUGAAAGGUCAAAAGGUCAGUCAAUGGUCAGUGCACAUUAACCAGCUGCAACACAGAAGACCAACCUGUAACUGUUUCAACAGGGAUUUGCUGGCUUGGCUGGAUCAAGGGGCGAGUCUGGAGCCACUGGAGCUAAAGUAAGACCCAGACAGAACUAACAUAGCAACAGUUUAAAACAAAGAGGCUGCCAUCCCGCCAGUUCUGUUACAGAUAUUUCACUGUCAACAUGGGG
rnacentral:lncRNA from 1 species